GCCAGGUGUCUUGGCACACACCUGUAAUCCCAGUGACUUGAGAGGCUGAGGUGGGAGGAUUGCAAGUUUCAGGCUAGCCUGAGAGACUUAGCAAGACCCUGUCUGAA
rnacentral:sRNA from 1 species